rnacentral:rRNA from 1 species
GGUCAGGCUGAAGACCUUACCCGAUUAGCUGAGAGGUGGUGCAUGGCCGUCGUCAGUUCGUACUGUGAAGCAUCCUGUUAAGUCAGGCAACGAGCGAGACCCACGUCCACAGUUGCCAGCAUACCCUCCGGGGUGAUGGGUACACUGUGGAGGCCGCCGCUGCUAAAGCGGAGGAAGGAGUGGGCAACGGUAGGUCAGUAUGCCCCGAAUCUCCCGGGCUACACGCGGGCUACAAUGGUUGGUACAAUGGGCAUCUACCCCGAAAGGGGAAGGAAAUCUCUUAAAGCCAAUCGUAGUUCGGAUUGAGGGCUGCAACUCGCCCUCAUGAAGCUGGAAUCCGUAGUAAUCGCGUUUCAACAGAACGCGGUGAAUACGUCCCUGCUCCUU